ACACCCCGAAAAGAAGAAGAACUUCAAACUGAUUAGCAUCGCUCCAUUCCCUGGAUAUUUGCGAACAAGUGGUAUGUAUACUUCUCUUAUCAAGAUGCAUUUGGAUUAAAACAGGAUGUUUCAUCAUGAGGCAAAAUGAAACUAGCACUCAGGACUAUUCCAAGGAAGAUGAGACAGCCUAAUACUGCUUCAAGUAUAUUCCUCUUUAUGAUUGUCAAAGGAACUGUGGUCCCUGAAGGCUGCACACUUCAGGAGCGUCAGGCACCAUAUCAACAUGGCAAUAUUAAGAAGAAAGCUAUGGCACAAUUGACACCUCUUAUUUCUCGCUAUUUCAUGUCUGCAUUCAUACUUUAAUUUAAAUUGUCUUCAAAUGAAGUUAAUUAUUCUUCCCAGUUGUAAAGAGAAGUGUUUUAAAUUGGCGUUUUGAUAAUUGCUAAACUAAGUUAUUUGCAUACAUUUUUAAAGUUAAACUUUACUUUGCAGUGUUCAUUCUAGGAAAUUUUACUUUAGUUAAAUUAAUAGUUAAAAUUUAAAAUUUAGUUAAAUUAAUAAAAUUAGUUAAAAAAUAAGCAUGUAAAUGUAGAAUGUAGAGGAUCGGCAAUAAUUAUAGAAGUCUCUAGGUAAGCCUCCAAACCAGAUUGAAUAUAGAACACUCAAUAUUGACAUACAGAUUCUCACUGGUUAUUGUUACUGAAAUUUGUAAUAAUUGUUUAACCUGAUGCUGGCCCUGGGCCAAGUAAUGUUUUUGAUAAUGACAAAUUGACAAUGUUUAGUGGC